UUCAGAGUGCAAGGCUGCCGGAAUCUUAAAUUAGGAACACGUGUAUCUCGGUUAGAUAAUUGGUAAGGGUUGGUUUGUAGGUCGUACCGGGACAAAUUACGAGAGGAAGAAUUGGUGGUUAGGAUGUUCUUAACUGCUAUAACUAGCUUAGCGUGUGAAAGAGAAAAUUAAUUUUCAAGGAUCGAAUCAAAAAUCUGGAAUCUACCGAGUCUAAGGCUAAGGCUUAAUUAUCUGAAUUUAUUUCCC
rnacentral:lncRNA from 1 species